GUUUGGUUUUACGGCAAAAAGCAGCGAACACUGUUAGUACUGUUGAUUCUUCACCUGCAUUGCAGCCAUUUCUGGAUUUAAAGAUGGUUUAUUGGUUGACGGGAUCCAAAAGGAAUGCGGUUUAAUACCUAGUGGACUGACCUGCUCUGCCAGAGGAUGGCGUUCUUGCCGGUGCUUGUUCUCGUCAUUUUGGCGUCGUUCGGAUCGACAGGCUUAGCGGGUAGUGACCGAUACAAGGACCCAACGGCGCCAUUGAACUAUAGGAUCAAAGACCUGAUGAGGCGGAUGACUCUGGAAGAGAAGAUUGGACAGAUGACACAAAUCGACCGUGUUGUUGCGACUCCAGAAAUUGUUAAGAAGUAUUUCAUAGGUAGUUUGCUGAGUGGAGGUGGAAGCAUGCCUCUUCCUCAAGCUACGCCAAAGGAUUGGAUUGACAUGGUUAAUAGCUUCCAGAAAGGCGCUAUGUCAACUCGUCUUCAAAUCCCAAUGAUCUACGGCAUCGAUGCUGUUCAUGGACAUAAUAACGUCUAUGAUGCUACACUUUUCCCUCACAAUGUUGGCCUUGGAGCUACUAGGGAUCCCGAGCUUGUCAAGCGGAUUGGUGAAGCAACUGCUCUAGAAGUCAGGGCCACAGGCAUUCCUUAUGUUUUUGCGCCCUGUCUUGCAGUGUGCAGGGAUCCGAGAUGGGGCCGCUGCUACGAGAGCUACAGUGAGGACCCUAACACUGUUAGAGCUAUGACGGAAAUCAUUCCUGGUUUGCAGGGAGAGUUGCCUCCUUCCUCAAGGAAGGGUGUCCCUUUUGUUGACGGAAAUCACCAUGUAGCUGCCUGUGCUAAGCAUUAUGUUGGUGAUGGCGGUACCCACAAUGGAAUUAAUGAGAACAAUACCAUUAUCAGCCGUCAUGGCUUGCUUAAAAUCCACAUGGCUCCUUACUAUCAAGCUGUUAAAAAAGGCGUGGCAACCGUCAUGGUUUCUUACUCAAGUUGGAACGGGAAGAAAAUGCAUGCAAGUCGUGACUUGGUUACCGGUUACCUCAAGAAUCAUCUUAAGUUUAGGGGCUUUGUUAUUUCAGAUUGGCAGGGCAUUGACAAGAUCACCUACCCAAUAGAUGCAAACUAUACAUACUCGGUACAAGCUGGAAUCCUGGCUGGUAUUGACAUGGUUAUGGUUCCACUUAACUACACAGAAUUCAUUGAUGACUUAACCUACCUGGUUAAAUCUGGGGUCAUCCCAAUGAGCAGAAUAGAUGAUGCAGUUCGCAGGAUUUUGCGAGUCAAGUUCACCAUGGGCCUGUUUGAAAAUCCGUUUGCUGAUUACAGUCUGGUUAAUGAGCUUGGCAGCCAGGCUCAUAGAGAACUUGCUAGGGAAGCAGUGAGGAAAUCACUUGUCCUACUUAAGAAUGGGAAACAAGAUGAGAAACCCUUGCUGCCCCUGGACAAGGCGGCUCCUAAGAUCCUUGUUGCUGGAACCCAUGCUGACAACUUGGGCUACCAAUGUGGAGGAUGGACAAUUGAAUGGCAAGGUGUUUCUGGAAAUAAUGUCACUAAAGGAACAACUGUUCUCAGCGCCGUGAAGUCAACAGUGAACCCCGAGACUGAAGUCGUAUUCGAAAACAAUCCUGAUGCUGAUUUUGUCAAGAAAGGUGGCUUCGCUUAUGCUGUUGUGGUUGUUGGCGAGCCUCCUUAUGCAGAAACAGCUGGUGAUAGCAAGAACCUGACCAUCCUGGAGCCUGGUCCUUCUGUUAUCCAGAAUGUGUGUGGGUCUGUUAAGUGCGCAGUGGUCAUCAUCUCAGGCAGGCCUGUAGUCAUGGAGCCAUACGUAUCAAAAAUUGAUGCAUUAGUCGCCGCAUGGUUGCCAGGAACAGAAGGCCAAGGCAUUGCAGAUGUGCUUUUUGGUGACUAUGGCUUUACUGGCAAGCUGCCACGGACUUGGUUCAGGAGUGUUGAUCAGCUGCCAAUGAAUGUUGGUGACAAGCACUACGAUCCACUGUUUCCGAUUGGUUUUGGCCUGACGACGUCCCCAGCGAGGUAGAGGAGGCUUUUGCUUGGUUUCAAGCAUUUAUCUUUGAAGCCUGGUCUAAGUCGAAGUAUCUUUACAGCAUCCCGCUGAAAAAGAAGCACUUCCAACUAUAAGAACAUAUAGAGGUCGUCUUCAUCUGGUGACAACAAAAUGUAUACUGUGGUGCCAUUCGUUGCCAUCACAUUGUUACUGCAUGUCUUUGUUUAGGUAC